CCCAUUUACCAGCUGUUCAGCACCUCCUAGGAAUAUUCAGCCUGUAGAUUAGCCCAGCUCCUUCUGACUACAGUUACCUCGAGCUCACGCAAACACAGGUUUCUCUCACUUUCAUUCCUGUGCAUUGCUAACUCCAGAGAUAUUGCACCAUCCGGCUGUUUAUGCUCGAGGUGAAUCCCUUAAAGUGUCUGGCCCAACUGGUUUUACUUGCAACCCUUCUUUUGGGGCCCACAGUUGUGCCUUCGCAGUGCGUGUUUUUCUGUUCUCUGGGAAGUGGGUGCAUUUGGUUUCACAUCCCCAAUGGCCAAGGUUAAUGCCAGGCCUGCAGCAGAAAUGAAAAGUCACAUGCCGCAGCUUAAUCUGUCUCCGUAGAAAAGGAGGACAAAGGUCCCGCCACAGCUUUUACUAUGCAGCAAAGCUUACCAGUGGCAACCUUCACACAAAGGAACUCGGCAAGGAGCAGGCUGGUGCGUCUGGAGAGGCGGCGAGAGCCCACGGGCCGAGGAGGAGGGGCCCCGCUGCUGGCAGCAGCCCUCAAGGUGCCCAGCGAGAGGCAGGUUGGGAAUUCUGCCCACCCGGAGCUCUAUUUCCCCACCCAGCACAGGAGCAAUUGGAAAGGCAGACUCAGGAAGCUCUGCAGCCGGAGAGCUCAGGAGGGGAGACCGGAGGCAGAGUCUCAACGGGACAGGGAACCACUUCUCCACACCCCAGCAGCACAGAGAGCCUCGACCAUGCCUUAAAGGGAGACGGAUGCCUCUGGGGGAGCCACAGGAGCAGAUCUUGGGGAUGGUGAAGGCUGCAGGAGACAUCAUGGCUAGGAUGCAGAAGGAAGAGAGUCUGGAGGUACCAAAGGGCACUAAGCCACAUGUGCUGCCAGAGGCCUCCCAGUCUCAAUCAGAGGCACUUAUUGACAGCCGGGCGCCCAACCCCAAAGUCCAGGCAUUAUCAUCAUCCUCAGCAGCAGCAGCAGUGGGGAACGUGAAUCUCCGCCAGUCACAGAAGAGGGACCUGAUCAGGAGCAUGGGCAGGGUUAGUAGAGGUUCAGGUAACUGGGAUGUGAGCUCUGACACAGCCAGGCUCUCCAUAGGCCGGGGCAGCGCGCGGCGGAGAGGUCUGAAGGAGGUUCUGCUGCAGAGCAGUGGAGGCGAGGGAGCUAUGUGGCUUGCAACUGCUCAGAAGAUAGCCAGCAGCAGCAGCCCUGCUGUGGGGACGCAACAAGAGCUGGAGCAGAGGUUGGAACAGAGCCCUGAGGACUUGUCCUUAGCCCUAGACCCCCUCGAGCAUGAGUGGAUGCUGACUGUGGCCCAGGGGGACCCUGAGAGCAUUGUGAGGUUGGUAGACAUGGAUCCCACCCUGCUGAACAGGAGAGAUUUUGUAACAGGGUUCACUGCCCUCCACUGGCUGGCCAAGCAUGGCUGCCAUGAGGCCCUGAUCGAGGUGAUCACCUGUGCAGAGAAGAAGGGCUACCGUGCAGAUGUCAACAUUCCCACAGCCAGCGGUGGGCUGACACCCCUGCAUCUGGCUGCCCUGCAGGGACACGAGAUGGUCAUCAAGGUGUUGGUGGGAGCCUACGGUGCCAACACAAGCCUGCGGGACCACAGCGGCCACAAAGCCUGGCAGUACCUGAGAACAGAUGCCUCCAGGGAGCUGAAGGAGCUGUCAGGGGCUUUAGAGGAAGAACUGGCCCAGCUUGGUGUGUGGAACACCAACAACAACUGCAUGUCGUCCAGAGAGGCUGGUGGCUCUGGUGCUGAACGGAGGACCCAGGUGUUCACCAGACUGCCAUCCUUCAGGAGCAUGUUCAGACAGGCACUUUCAUUCUUCCAAGACCUUUAAUUGUCCUUUGUGGCUAAGAAUCAGUUUGAUGUUGCCUGUGAACUAGUUUUAAAGAGCAGCUUUGCUGGGUCUGGGGAGCAGCGAAGGAGAGCAGGGGGCUGCAGUGGGGUGGCAAAGGGUUGGUACAGGAGACUUGCUGAGCCGGGACUAACCAAUGGCAGCUGGUGCACUGAGAUUACCCAAGAGCCAUUGGCUAGGGCGUCUGCAAACCUGCACAGGCUUGGAUCCUGCCCGUAGCUAUUUGUGCACCAUUCCCCUGGCAGGCCGCUCUUUAGCAAUUGUGCACGCGUAGCUGGGGGCAGGAUUUGCCCUGCAGUAACUAUUCUGCUCGUCCAAUGGAAGCCUCUUCCCGUAACAUUUCUCCUGCUGCCAAACCUCUCCAGCAUGAAUGGAGACCCAGAAGUGCAGCCUGCCAAUCCCAGCCCUCCUGCAAGUGCCCCGCACAGGCCCCUUUACUCAGGGUUUGCACAGUUGGCCAGGGCAUGGUGCUAUAAGCAGAGCAGCAGGAUGUGCCCGGUGCCACUGCUUUGUUUACAUUGUUUCCCCGCCUGCUCCAGCGCGAUCCCUGAGAACAGCAGGAUGGAAAGAGGUGCGGGUUUACCUUUAGUUCUUCUGCUGUUGCUGCUUACUGUGUCUCUCUGCCCAAAGGCACAGGUCAUAGGAUGGAGUGGCAGAGGAAGUGCAGUCUUGUGGUUAAAGCACAGGACUGAAUGAAGAACUUGGCGUCUAUUUCUGGCUAUGCAAAAGGCUUUUCACGUGACUUUGGUCAGGGCACCACUCUGUGCCUCUGUUUCCUCUUUUCCAAAUGAGGAUAAUGCCCCGUCCCUACUUCACAGUGAGGGUGUAAGAUUAGCGUGAUUGUUGCCUGCAGGGUGCUCGGAGGGCCUUGGACAGACAGCUAGCAGCGUGUGAUUACACAUUCCACGGUGACACACUGAGAUGUCACAGAGGACUUGGAUUUCAGGUGGGGAAUAAGCAGCCACUGAAACUCCAAAAACAAAAAUCGUCUUUUCAUGACGUCUCUGCUAAGGAAGAACAUGGAGGAAAAAUACAGGAAACAGACUUAUCCUCCCCUCAGUGAUGCAGAAAUUAGACUAUCACACAUCCCCAGGAAGGGCUGCUGGAAGAUCAGAUAUUACUGAUGUGUCCUAAGCCUGUUACAGAACACUAGCCCAACGGGUGUCACUAGACAUUUUUUGGUGGCCUCAGAGUGCAGCCACCAACUCUUGCUGGUGGCCACCCUGACAAUUUUUUGUAAAAUACUUAAUUAACUUUAGAAAAAACAAAUAAAUAUGCACAUAGACAUGUCCAAAUGAUUGUAAUUUUUUAUGUAGGCAUUUAUUGCACUCAAUAAAAAUAAUGUACAGUUUUGUCUCUAUUCAUUACUAGGCCUAAACAGAAUAGAAACAAAAUAAUGCUCUUUGCAUGUUCUUUUUUGUUGUUUCUUUUGCUUUUAAAAAUUUUUUUAUUAAAUAUUUGCUAGCUAGUAUAUCUGUUUCUGUGAAAAGCGAUAUUUGUUAACACUGCUUUGCCCCCCCCCCAGUCACUACCUAGGAGGCUGCGGCCACACAAAAAGCCCCAGCCGGCUGCAUGCAACUGUGAUAGCCACAAUUGAUCAUAGAAUAUCAGGGUUAGAAGGGACCUCAGGAGAUCAUCUAAUCCAACCCCCUGCUCA